UGGGGAAUAUUGCACAAUGGGCGCAAGCCUGAUGCAGCGACGCCGCGUGAGGGAUGGAGGCCUUCGGGUUGUAAACCUCUUUCGCCAGUGAAGCAGGCCAUCUUCUUUGUGGGGUGGUUGACGGUAGCUGGAUAAGAAGCGCCGGCUAACUACGUGCCAGCAGCCGCGGUAAUACGUAGGGCGCGAGCGUUGUCCGGAAUUAUUGGGCGUAAAGAGCUCGUAGGCGGCUGGUCGCGUCUGUCGUGAAAUCCCCUGGCUUAACUGGGGGCGUGCGGUGGGUACGGGCCGGCUUGAGUGCGGUAGGGGAGACUGGAAUUCCUGGUGUAGCGGUGGAAUGCGCAGAUAUCAGGAGGAACACCGGUGGCGAAGGCGGGUCUCUGGGCCGUUACUGACGCUGAGGAGCGAAAGCGUGGGGAGAGAACAGG
rnacentral:rRNA from 1 species